AGGAGGCUGGCAGCCCAUUGAUCCGAAUGGCCAGAAAGCCCAAGCUGCAGCCGACACUGUUUUUGAGAUAUGGACGCGUCGCCAACCACCUGGCCUGGCUUACAGACUGGGCGAGGUGGUAUCAGCACAGCAACAGGUUGUAGCUGGAUCAAACUUCAAGUUGGAGGUCAUAAUUGAAUCAUCUGUUGCCAGACCUGGUUCCCAGUGGCGACAGGGUCAGCGGUGUGACUUCUCUCUGAACGUUCCAUUGAAUGGGGCUCCGGCUGGUCUUGUCGACAAUUGUCAGGAAAUGUGAUGUGAAGAGAAGCUGAUGAAUUAUUCACAGCACACUGCUAAGUGACAGAUCGAAUUGGAGCUUGAAUAAAAUUACUGCUUUCUUACUGCUUUAUUACUGCUGUAAUAGCACAACCAGUUUGUCAUAGAAUAUGAGAUUAUUUGGCAACAGUUUGGGCCUUAUCUUUAUCUAGAUUAACUCUGUCUCUCGACUCACUGCAAAACAAACAAAAAACAUGAAAAAAUAAAGAAUAUUCGCUCAU